AACCCAAAUACUACACACGCACACGUUGAUUUUCCAGAUCUCGCGCUUGGCUUCAGUAUGCGAGACGGCAGGACCUGGCUCAUUUACCACCUCGUCAGAUCUACAGCAGCUACCGCCUGUGCUCUGCCCAUUUCACCAGCAGAGACUACGCAGACCCUGGACAGACAAGGCUGCUAAGAUGUGCUGUGCCAACAGUUUCCAUCUUUGGCGAUGGGCAGACACACGUCGAAAGUCCAGGCUCUCCUCGGCCCGCGAAUACCACUGCAAUGCCCGCUCACAGCGCCGAUGAAGAAGUUCAACAGACUGAGCCCUCAUGUUCCAAUCCAGCGGGUCGACAACACAAGCCUUCUAGGUGCUCGCCCCGGACAGCCAGAAAGAUGAAGAACCUGGAGAAGAUAAAUUCAAGGCUUCGGAAGGCACUGUCAAGAAUUGGCAAGAGAAAGGUUAAAAAGCUUUCCCAGUCCGAGGCGUUGAACGCUAUCAGGCCCUACGUCCGCAAGACAUUAUUUAGAUUGCUUGAGACUCAAGUUAAAAUUAAUGGUGUGAAACGUAGAGGACGGAGGUGGUCGCCCGAGCACCGCCAGUUCGCUUUAAACUUAUACUUUCAUGGUCCGAAAGCGUACAGACAUCUGUCAAGACUGCUUUACAUGCCAACUGUAAGGUCGCUGAAGCAGUGGUUAUCAAAUAUUCCGAUGACUCCCGGAGUUAUUCCAACCGCUAUUGAAGCCCUCGAAGAAGCUACCCGAAAUUGGAAUUUAACAGAUCGUGUGUGCACAUUAAUAUUUGACGAAAUGUCCUUGAAGGAACAUCUGCAGUAUGAUGCAAAGCAUGACAUUGUGAUGGGAUUCUGCGAUGACGGUAGGCAAAGAACACCAGCCGUGGCAAAUUCAGCGCUCCUGAUACUUGUGGCAGGCAUUUCAAAAACGUGGAUUCAACCUGUUGCUUACACAGUAUCAAGGACCAAAACUCCCGCAGAUACUCUUCAUCAUCUGAUCAUAACAUUAAUCAAGCAGCUGCAGGGAGCCCGGUUGUUUGUGAAGGCGCUCAUCUGCGACCAGGGGGGAAGCAACAUCACUUUGGCAAAUAAGCUAGGUGUGACGCCUGAAGAGCCGUUUUUUGUGCUUGAAGGCCGCAAGAUUUAUUUCCUAUAUGACACACCACACUUACUUAAAUGCACAAGGAAUAAUCUCCGCGCACCUCACAAGCUCCAUAUCGGGCAACAAAUUGUGGAUUGGUCUUUCAUUACGCAACUAUACGAAAGCUCGCAUCCUCUCAAACUCAAAUUGGCGAAGAAACUAACCGACAACCACAUUUACCGGAAGCCUUUCAAUAACAUGAAAGUUAAAUAUGCCAGCCAGGUGAUGAGCGAAUCGGUCUCAGUGGCCAUUGAUGUAUUCAUUGCUCUUGGCGUGUUGCCGGCAUCCGCCAAACCAACAGCUGAUUUUCUCGAGAAGAUAGAUAAGUUAUUCGACUGUCUGAAUAGCUCUUCUGUAAAAAAAGCCAGUGACAAGUUACGUUAUGCAAUUUCGGAAGGGUCCGAACACCUAGCCUUUUUGCGGGAGUGCCUGUCGUGGGUUGAAAGCUGAAAAUUUGACGGGCCUCGGCAACCACACACAGUUGAGGCAUGGAAGGUCACCUUAAAGGCUAUCCUUCUCCUCUGGGACGACCUCUUCCAAGAUUUUGAUUUUCGUGUUCUCUUGACUCGCUGGCUACAGCAGGACCCCCUGGAGAACCUUUUCGGGCUGCUUAGGUUAAAGCAUGGCUGCAAUCACAACCCAAAUGUGCUUCACUUCACAUCAGGUCUGAAACACAUUUCUGUUGGCAAACUGGUUGCCCUUUUUUCAGAAGGAAACUGUGAACAGGAUCGCAGCACUGUGUUGGCACAAAUGUCAGAGCCACCUCAUUCGCUUCCUACUACUUGUGAUGCAGCACAGACAGUCGAUAUGCUUCCUGAUGAGGAACAGCCCGCUAGCCUUGAUAUAGUAGAGGAUAACGUUCUCUACUAUGUUGGGGGAUAUCUCGUACGGCAAUUUUUGUUGUACAGGCCUCCAGACUGUGUGUUCAACACCCUUUUGAAGAAUGCCGACCGCCAGCUUUGUGCAUCACACCAGUAUUUUGCUAUGUUUAAGGCAAGCAACAUCUCCUCAGAUUUAUUUGGCAAUGUAACAAUGCCUUCUGACGAUUGCUUUCAGGAUAUUAAGGCCAUGGAAGCUUGCUUUUUGGAAUAUAUUGGUGUUGUGGCGCACCUGCCUAAUGUGAGUGGAGUUUUGGCAGGCAUUUUGUACAGUUGUAUGGGAAGGCAAAAAUUCUGCUCUGAAGAAUGCAAGAAAGCCUUUGUGCACCUCUUUGCAAGGAUUCGCCUGUUGUGGCAUAUUCUCUUCGUGAACAUCUCCUUGGCUAAACAACGCACCAGAAAAUCUGCUGCAGCACGAAAAAUGCGGAAGUUUUUGUAACUUUUAGGAUUCUGUUUGCAUAUUUGAGGUCUUGAAAAAACUGAGCGCUCAAACACGGACGACAAAAAGACACACAUAUGCGCAAAAGUAGGCGCUACUUCCAUAUUUUUGAGUCACCGCUACUUCUAUAGCUGAGGUCACCAUUUUCUGCCUCUGAAGCGGACAUGUGUGUGUACUAUUUACUAUUUAUCUGCUUGUAUUUUGUUUUUGUUUUUUUCAUUAAGCGAUAUAGGUAUGUUACGCUGAAGAAAGCAUAAACCCUUCGUGUUAUUUUAUCAGAACACUCUAUAGUGGCUUCAGUAUUUUGUAAAUUUUUGCUUAAGCUUCUAUAAAGAAACCUGAUGCUGAAUAGAAAAUGUAGCAAUGUCUAACUCCGGUACCUUAUGGUUUUGUAUCAAUUUCCUCUUGCAUCCUAAGUGUGCGGUGUGCCGUAUUAUCUUGUCCCACUCAUGGGAUGAUUUUAUAUCGGGAUACGUGCUGUGAACUUGUGUAUAGUUAUUACUGUUUUUCUUUUGUCUUUGUAUAGACGUAUGUGCGGCAAUGUGCAAUGGAUUGAUACUAGGUUAUUAGCAUGCUGGCAUGUGCGGUCCACUUUUGUAUGCGACCAAAAACGUAAAACAUUCAAGUUGUAUUUUUACUGCAUAAACCGUACGUUUAGGCAAUAAAACAUUCAAACAAA